rfam:Gossypium hirsutum cultivar TM-1 unplaced genomic scaffold scaffold1659.1, whole genome shotgun sequence
UAUUAAAAAUUGCAUCUAUUUGUAAUGUUAAAAAUUGGCAUGGCUAACAAAAUAAUCAUAUAGUGAAACGUGACGUACCACGUGGACCUCAUACUGGCAUAUAAAGACUAGUUUUUAAAAAUAGAAAUAGAUGAAAUCUUUAAUA